rnacentral:misc_RNA from 1 species
GAUGAAGAACGUAGCGAAAUGCGAUAAGUAAUGUGAAUUGCAGAAUUCAGUGAAUCAUCGAAUCUUUGAACGCACAUUGCGCCCGCCAGUAUUCUGGCGGGCAUGCCUGUUCGAGCGUCAUUUCAACCAUCAAGCCCCAGGCUUGUGUUGGGGACCUGCGGCUGCCGCAGGCCCUGAAAACCAGUGGCGGGCUCGCUGUCACACCGGGCGUAGUAGAUUUUAUCUCGCUCUGGGCGUGCUGCGGGUUCCGGCCGUUAAAAAACCCUUUUAACCCUAGGUUGACCUCGGAUCAGGUAGGAAUACCCGCUGAACUUAAGCAUAUCAAUAAGCGGAGGA